rnacentral:rRNA from 1 species
GUGCAGCAGGCGCGAAUCCUCCGCAAUACACGAAAGUGUGACGGGGCCAUCCCGAGUGCCGGUCCGCUGAGGACGGCUUUUCCCCAGUGUACACAGCUGGGGGAAUAAGGAGAGGGCAAGCCUGGUGUCAGCCGCCGCCGGUAAUACCAGCUCUCCGAGUGGUGGGGACGCUUAUUGGGCCUAAAGCAUCCGUAGCCGGCUGGGCAAAGGUCCUCCGUUAAAUCCAACGAUUCAAUCGUUGGGCUGCGGGGGAUACUGUCCA